rnacentral:lncRNA from 1 species
GUGGAGUAAAUAAAAUCACCGUUGCUUUAUCAACCCUCCCAGGUAGUUUUUCUGCCAGCCAGCCUGCGCUGUUAAGACCCAUAAAGUUAUGCAAUAGCAACGACUUCCUCCAAGGUUCUCUAAUCAGAUAAUGGCUGAUGUAGGAAGAGAAGAGCCCAAGGCGGUGUGGCUGGCACUUAACACUGCGGUUGGUCAUUACUUGUCUCGUAGAGACCAAUAAACAACUGAUUACUAUCCUCUAAGAAGCCAAUAUUCAACAUCCGCCCCAUUCCCUUUUCUCCUUUUCUUCUGGACUUCAUUUUGCAGUAAGUAUUUGUCAAAAAGAUCAAUGAAAAAUAGCCUCCUAGGUACCUUAAAAAUAAGAAUUUUGCUAGCUUGUAACAUUGCCUUUUUUGGAAAAGUGAGAAUGAUUCUUUCUUUCUUUCUUUCUUUCUUUCUUUCUUUCUUUCUUUCUUUCUUUCUUUCUUUCUUUCUUUCUUUCUUUCUUUCUUUCUUUCUUCCCCAAGAACAAAGCUUACAAUCCAUUUGUUUCAGCCAUGGACACACCCAGACUUCACCCCCCUCCUCCUCUAACCCCUUCCUCUCUGAUGACAGGCUCACCUCACCCACUGCAACCAAGAGGGUUUAAAAUGCAAAUAUUUAUAUUUGAGCUCAGGCAAUAACAGAGCUAUUUUGCUUCCUCCAUAAGUCUGUGAUAAUUGAUGCCUCAUAUGUGGGUCUGUGUUUCAUUUAUCUCCUUACAUACGAAGAUAGUAUAUAAAUACAAGAUAAUUUACAGAAAGAAACUGGUCAUUUGAGAUAAUAAUCCUAAAUUUGACUGUUUGACUCCAUUAUAUUUCAAAGCUGCAAGAGUCAGCAAUGCAAAAUUCUUAACUUUUAAAGAAAACUUGACUGCAGCUGGAAAAUUCUUACAUUUCACAAAGCUUUCUGAACCUGGAUGCUGCGCAGACCAACACUGAGUAAGAGAGAUGAGGAUGGAACUCAAGAGAAAAAUACGGAAUUCUACAUAUUUUCACAUAUUUGAAAUCAAUGCACUCGACCACAUAUUUAGAAUUCUUGUUAGAAUUUUGCCUUAAUAUUUGAAAUUAAUUUCGUACUAGCCAAUGCAAACUACGGAAUGGCAAGUCUUACAAUCUUGUCUGUCCUUGUCUGGCAUCCAUCCUCCUUCCAGAGUGAACAGAGGUAUAUCCAUAAGCACCGGACACUGAUUUCACAGCCUCAUCCAAAGCCAGGCAAUUCUUGAGGCAAACAAACAAAGGGGUGUGAGUGAUUUCAUUUAUUUUGAUAAUCCUCUGUCUGCACAGGGGCACUUUGCUGUCUUUGUCAAAGUGAAUGACAACAAUUUGGCCAACUCUCUCUGAGCUGCACUCAACAGUGACAGGCAAAUUAUCAGAGGCCCUGCACUUCUUAUUAUCAGAGGAGAAGCCAUCAGGGGGACGCAGGGAGGAUGCCUCUCCCUUGUCACUAUUUGUCAGUGGGACAAGGGCCACUGCUAUGGGUAGCUGACAGGUAAUUUCAACAAUAACAAUUACUCCUAUUACUGGCGUCAUAAACAAUUCGUCCAAGGCAUGACAAUAGCAAAGCUUUAUAAUUCAAUGCCAUAUAAAUAAAUGCCAGCAGGUAACAAGUAAUUUAGCUCCAAUCAAGCUUUCACCCUGGCAUUAAUAUUGUUAUUGCAAGAAAAUGGAAAAUUGAAAAAAUUCAAUAUGUUAAUGAAUUAAGAUUGGUUCAAGGGCUACAGAAGGGAAGUUGAAAAGGGAAGCCCAAAUUAUUAUCAUGUCAUAUUUGGUGGCAACCUGGGGCCAAACAGCAGUAUAAUGACUUUGAGACUCGAAGGGGAGUCUGGGGUGCUAGUUUAGAUUUAAGCUUGAGAAAAUGGGAUAUGUGAUAUGCUCUCUGAAAAACAAAUCUGUCCUUCCUUCACUUCUUUAAGAUAUAGAUGGAAAUAUGAGAAUAUAUAUACAACAUAGAAUUUUGCUGGCUUUUUUCCACUUGAAAUAUUUCAUAUGAUGUGGGAUAUGAAGAGAAGUUUCCAUCUAUUUAAGGAAAUAUCAGUGCCACCUGCUUGCGUUACAUUGAGUGUCAUAAUGAAACUAUUUUAAUAAGGCUUGAAAAUUUAAAUCCAGGGUGGAAAGCAAAGAGGCUGCCGCCACUCUCUAGCUGUGCACCCUUUGGUAGGAGGGCAUCAGGGAAUGUAGUUCAGUCUUUAUAUAAAACUUCCCGAUCAAGCCAAUUUGCAAUUUUCGUCUGCGUCCAGCAAGACGGUGCACCCUCACAGUGACAGCAGCGAAGGGAUUGGAAAGUCUCUAAUUAGGAGAGCUGCAGAGCAAUUAAAGCACGUCAGAUCUCUCUUCAAGUGCCACUCCAGUUUUUCCUCUAAAAAUGAAUGGACUUUUUUCCCCUUUUGGUGUGUGUAUCCCCUUAAGGCAAUGUUGAUUCAAAUCUGCUCAAGAUGCAGUGUUGCACAGCUAAGCAUCCUCUUGAUUACAGCCCGCCACACUCCUAACCUCGUUCAUUCUCACUGCCACCGAUACUUUGUCAACAGUCAAAUUACACCACGCUGAUAACAAUGCAUAACGCUCAUCCUCCUCCCAGGCUGUCAGGAGGGGGCUCCGAAAAAUGGGAUGUUUUCAUCUUCCCUGUUUCAAAAGGAAGUUGGUGUGAUCUCCCCUCUCCCUGCCCCAAGUCGGGUGCUCCUUCCUAAAAUUUAAUUAGGUAAUUUAAAGAAAAAAAAAAAAGCAACAGAAGGAUGCCAUGUGAGAAUUCCUCCUGGCAGGGGACUGAGAGGAAGACCAGAAACCAGUGGAUCUGCAGCCAAAGUUUUGCUGAACACUUUGUUCAGAGAUGUUUUCAAGGGCACCGCUCUUGGUUAAAUACCAGCUUUUUUCCCUCUUCACUUACGGACUGUAAACACUGGAAGCCUUUCUUGAACAGACAGUAUUUAUAUUGUGUGAGAAGUUUGUUUGAUGGCUACGUUUGCCAGAAUUCUUGAAACAGCUCAGAACCCAGAAGACAAAUGACUUUUUUGGGUGUGUGUAUAGGGGGCGUGGGAUUGCAUAUUGCGGAUAAAUGUUGGCGCAUUUUAACUGCUAUUUUUCCUGCUCGAUUGGUGCAGGUUGCUGUGUCCUAGCCAGUCAUCUGAUCCCUUGAGAGACAUUUCUCACUGGAAAAUGAAAGGAAGGCAGAGAUUAGAGCGUGAUUGUUAA